rnacentral:rRNA from 1 species
UACGUAGGGUGCAAGCGUUGUCCGGAAUUAUUGGGCGUAAAGAGCGUGUAGGCGGCUCGAUUAGUCCGCUGUGAAAGUUCAGGGCUCAACCCUGGAAUGCCGGUGGAUACUGUCGAGCUAGAGUCCGGAAGGGGCGAGUGGAAUUCCUGGUGUAGCGGUGAAAUGCGCAGAUAUCAGGAGGAACACCUAUGGCGAAGGCAGCUCGCUGGGACGUGACUGACGCUGAGACGCGAAAGCGUGGGGAGCGAACAGG